rnacentral:rRNA from 1 species
UAGCAUAUCAAUAAGCGGAGGAAAAGAAACCAACAGGGAUUACCUCAGUAACGGCGAGUGAAGCGGUAACAGCUCAAAUUUGAAAUCUGGCUCUCGGGCCCGAGUUGUAAUUUGUAGAAGAUGCUUUGGGUGUGGCUCCGGUCUAAGUUCCUUGGAACAGGACGUCAUAGAGGGUGAGAAUCCCGUAUGUGACUGGUCGCCUUCGCCCGUGUAAAGCUCUUUCGACGAGUCGAGUUGUUUGGGAAUGCAGCUCAAAAUGGGUGGUAUAUUUCAUCUAAAGCUAAAUAUUGGCCAGAGACCGAUAGCGCACAAGUAGAGUGAUCGAAAGAUGAAAAGCACUUUGGAAAGAGAGUUAAACAGUACGUGAAAUUGUUGAAAGGGAAGCGCUUGCAACCAGACUUGCAGGCUGUUGAUCAUCCGGGGUUCUCCCCGGUGCACUCGGCAGUUUUCAGGCCAGCAUCGGUUUGAGUGGUGGGAUAAAGGCCUUGGGAAUGUGGCUCUCUUCGGGGAGUGUUAUAGCCCAAGGUGCAAUGCCGCCUACUUGGACCGAGGACCGCGCUUCGGCUAGGAUGCUGGCGUAAUGGUUGUAAGCGACCCGUCUUGAAACACGGACCAAGGAGUCUAACAUCUAUGCGAGUGUUUGGGUGUCAAACCCAUACGCGUAAUUAACGUGAACGGAGGUAAGAACCCUUAAGGGUGCAUUAUCGACCGAUCCUGAUGUCUUCGGAUGGAUUUGAGUAAGAGCAUAGCUGUUGGGACCCGAAAGAUGGUGAACUAUGCCUGAAUAGGGUGAAGCCAGAGGAAACUCUGGUGGAGGCUCGCAGCGGUUCUGACGUGCAAAUCGAUCGUCAAAUUUGGGUAUAGGGGCGAAAGACUAAUCGAACCAUCUAGUAGCUGGUUCCUGCGA